UACACAAUCAAUAUAGUCACCCACCCGUCCGUUCUUUCGUUCGUUCGCGUUCGUCCGUCUGUCCGUCUGUCCGCCAGCUAGCUUGCUCUCAGCCUGCCUGCCUGCCUGCCUGCCUGCCUGCCUGCUUUUCAACCUUCACAUGCAUAGACCGUACUCCAGCCGAUAAUGUAUUCGGUACGUGACUUCGUAUUCGACAAAUACAAGAGCGUCCCCGGUCCGGUGCGGCGCGACGACGACUCGGCCACGACCCGGACCAACAAGCAUUGCCAACUACACGUAUAACGGAGUUUAGAAGGAAAAAUAAUGCCUACUCGGAACACACAAAGCUGUCGGCCAUAAAACACCCAUGUCAGGUCACCCAGCCAACGCGCAGGCGUGCACGACCUGCAUUUUUAUGUCCACGGCCAGAUCCGCGUACAGAUUUUCUCGAAAACGCCGGAUAAAAACGUGAACGAAGAGAAAGGAAAAAAAAAAAAUAUGUACGCGAAACGUAACGUCACAAUGGUGUCCAGCUGCUGCAUGCAAACUCGUUACCUAUGGCUUGUCCACCUAUCUAUUUGAAUCUUUUCCUAUAUUUCUAGCAAGAUUUGCUCAUUUAUUCAAUUUAUUGUAACUUAUAACGUGACUAAAAGAUAUUAAAUACCAAUUUCUUUAGAGAAACACUGGUAGACCCAGAUUUUUAAUCGGAUAAAAUUUCCCACACCAGUAAUAAAAAAUGAGUUUAUCUGAACUUCUCUUUAGAUUAUGAAAGCUGCUGCCUCCUAUAAAUUAAGCAUGCUUUAAUGGCUGUUAAUAUAAUCACUUGAAAAUUUAUUUAAUCUUCUAUUAUUCUAUCAAGUUUUUAAAUCAUAUUCUACUUAGAAUUUUAAGAACAGAAAAUAUCUGCCUAGAAUGUACGGUGGAUGUUAUGUACUACAUUUUACAACGUUUAAUGGUUAAAAAUCACAUUAUUAUUUGUUAAAUGUCCUGGCAAAAUCUAUACAAUUCAUCAAAGAUACCUAUAUAUAUUUACAUUUUACGCAAGGAAGCGGGAUAUCUCAGGCGCUGGAUAUGCUGUGUCAGUAUUUGCCAGCAUUUCAUUAAAAAAGCAUUUUUGCAAGUUACAGAGAAUAAAAUAUA